rnacentral:rRNA from 1 species
GAUGAACGCUGGCGGCGUGCUUAACACAUGCAAGUCGAACGAAGCACUUUAUUUGAUUUCUUCGGAAUGAAGAUUUUGUGACUGAGUGGCGGACGGGUGAGUAACGCGUGGGUAACCUGCCUCAUACAGGGGGAUAACAGUUGGAAACGACUGCUAAUACCGCAUAAGCGCACAGGGUCGCAUGACCUGGUGUGAAAAACUCCGGUGGUAUGAGAUGGACCCGCGUCUGAUUAGCCAGUUGGUGGGGUAACGGCCUACCAAAGCGACGAUCAGUAGCCGACCUGAGAGGGUGACCGGCCACAUUGGGACUGAGACACGGCCCAAACUCCUACGGGAGGCAGCAGUGGGGAAUAUUGCACAGUGGGGGAAACCCUGAUGCAGCGACGCCGCGUGAGCGAAGAAGUAUUUCGGUAUGUAAAGCUCUAUCAGCAGGGAAGAAGAAAUGACGGU